UACAGAGGUGGCAAGCGUUGUUCGGAAUUACUGGGCGUAAAGGGCGCGUAGGCGGCUUCUUAAGUCAGACGUGAAAUCCCCAGGCUUAACCUGGGAACUGCGUCUGAUACUGAAAAGCUUGAGUUCGGGAGAGGGAUGUGGAAUUCCAGGUGUAGCGGUGAAAUGCGUAGAUAUCUGGAGGAACACCGGUGGCGAAGGCGGCAUCCUGGACCGAAACUGACGCUGAGGCGCGAAAGCCAGGGGAGCAAACGGG
rnacentral:rRNA from 2 species